rnacentral:rRNA from 1 species
AUUGAACGCUGGCGGCAGGCCUAACACAUGCAAGUCGAACGAGUGGCGGACGGGUGAGUAAUGUCUGGGAAACUGCCCGAUGGAGGGGGAUAACUACUGGAAACGGUAGCUAAUACCGCAUACCAUCGGAUGUGCCCAGAUGGGCUUAGCUAGUGGGUGGGGUAACGGCUCACCUAGUCGAAGAUCCCUAGCUGUGCUGAGAGGAUGAGCAGCCACACUGUAACGGAGACGCGGCCCAGACUCCUACGCGAGGCAGCAGAGGAGAAUGUUGCACAGUGGGCUCAGGCCUGGUGCAGCCAUGCCGAGUGUAUGAAGAAGGCCUUCGGGUUGGAAAGUUCUUUCAGCGAGGAGGCGGUACUCGCAGAAGAAGCACCGGCUAACUCCGUGCCAGCAGCCGCGGUAAUUC